rnacentral:rRNA from 1 species
UACGGAGGGUGCGAGCGUUGUUCGGAAUUACUGGGCGUAAAGCGCGCGCAGGCGGAUGUGCAAGUCGAAGGUGAAAUCCCGGGGCUCAACCCUGGGACUGCUCUCGAUACUGCAUGUCUAGGGACCGGUAGAGGUCGGUGGAAUUCCCGGUGUAGCGGUGGAAUGCGUAGAUAUCGGGAGGAACACCUGUGGCGAAGGCGGCCGACUGGGCCGGAUCCGACGCUGAGGCGCGAAAGCGUGGGGAGCAAACAGG